ensembl:lncRNA titin homolog
GAGGACUGUGACGUCACAUCCGCCGCGUCUCUCCGGAAGUACAGUUAAUUUUUAUUCACAGGAAAAAAACAGCUGUUGUUGAGAAACAUAAAAAGUGAGUUUCAUUGACGAGUGUCGUGCCUUUGUGUCUUCGCUGCAUUUCGUACGGGUCUGAGCGCUGUGUAAACUUUCCGCCCGGUGGCUCUGGCUCCUCUUUUGGCUGAUUUGAGCAGCGAUUCUGGUUUCGCUCAUUUGUUGCGAGUUGGCUGCUGCUAGCGUUAGCGCCCAUCACCGUGGACUUCAGCUAGCACAGCAGCUACUCUCGGCUACAUGUCUUGAAUAUUUCUGACUGUCUGCACAGCGAUCUCUGUCGACUGCUACGCCAUCAGUAGAUAAUUUGUGCAUGAGUACAUGUGGAUCGUGUGUCGUGUUGCUCCGUAGUCAUCUAGUUUAACUGCGUUUUAUCAGUGUUUGUGUCCAACGUUAGCUGCCGUGUUGCUUGUAGGAAAACCAGAAUGCCGGCCCCUAAAAGAGGACUGGAUCCUCAUGAUUCUGAGCCUAAGGUGACGAAGUUGGAUGCAGACGGGCAGGAUCUGCCAUCCAAAACUACAGCAGCUAAAUCGCUUAUAACAGGAAAUAUGCAAGAAACGACAGCAGCCCCACGGACUAAGCAACAACUGCCUGGUUCAGCGGAAGAUGGGAAUAAACCAGCAAAGUCUUCUAAAGAGAAUUCCCCUGAAAAGGACUCAGAUUCUGACCCACCUGUCAAAAAAGCCAAGCUCCUGAAUGCCACAAGUGCCUCCUGUGGAGAAGCUCCCUCACAAAAAGUUAACUCCAAAGCUUCGCUGAAACGAUCAGCAUCCACAGACUCUGAUGAUGAGCUGAGUAGUGAUGGGAGUAAGAUUGAUCUUUUUAGAGAGAGAGAUGAUGACGACAAGUCCCGGUGCAUCAGAAAGUACUCAAACCGUGCAAAACGCAAGGCUGAAGAGUCAUCAUCGGACCUGCAGGAGAAAAUCCAAGGCUUACCGCCUGCUUCCGGGGACCCUGUACAGAUGGACCACAACUAUGGUAGGUUUUCAGAUUCACCAAGUGUUCAAGAUAUAGCGUAUCCAAAUGAGACACAAGAGUCUGCUGAGUUUGUCGCUGAAAAGGAGAGAAAAGAAAGCUCAGAUAACAGGACACAAGCCGAGUCAAAAGAAAAUGUAACAAGGAGCACAAACGCUAGCAUCAGCUUUGAAUGUGCACCUGAAGAAGCUAAACAUGAGGCAUUUAAAGAUGUAGAAAGCCAAAAGCUCAUAGAUAAUGAAACACUAGCAUCGUCUAGUAAAACAUUAGACUAUGCAGCAGCUGCAGAUGUGUCUUUCAAGUCAUCUGAGGCUGAGAAAAAUGAAAAGAGGGACAUUGCAGAGUCAAUCGAAGGGCAAAAGGAUGUAGAAGAUGAAACACUAACAUUGUCAGUGAAAACACUAUGUUCUGGUACAAGAGAUCGAAGUUGUGAAAAUGAAGUACGACAAGAUGAUAAAACAGUUUUAGGUUGCAGACCAGAAAAUCAGGCACAUGUUGGCCACGAAAAUGAAACAAAGGAAACCGAAUCUACUGAGUGUGAAACAGAAAUUAAAGGAGUGCCUGAAGCUGCCAGUGUCUCAGAGGAGCACAAAGAUGUAGGUGUAAAAGACAAAGCAUCAAAAGAAACCGACCCCUCACCAGAGGAGAUCCUGAUGGGAGGCAGUAAUCUAGAGAGUGAAACAGACAUCAGCGUCAAAAUUCAGGUUACUUUUAAGGACGAACCAAAAUCUGUACUUAUGCAGGACCAAGUGCCAGACACCAUCACAAACUCAUGUGAUGUAAACAAAGUACUUAAAAAGUCAGAGGAAAACCUUGAAGUAGGUGAACGAAAGGGAGGAGAGUUCUCAUCCACCCAGCCUGCUGCCAGUGCUGCAUCUUUUGUUGAGAUUCAACCAAGCCAUGGUACAACUGACAGCAGUGCUGAAAUAUUAACACCUGAUUGUGAGGCAGCUUAUGAGCAACAACACGUGGUUUCGGAGUGCGUCACGGUCUCAGCAGGUCAAACAGACUUGGACACGCAGCCGAAAAUAACUUCAGAGGAGGGGUCUGACUCGGCACCAAGACACGAUAGACAAAACCACAGAGUAUUUGACCACACUAAAGAAACAAUGGUUGAAUUUAGAGAAGAUUCUACGGUUGAAGUGUCUAUACAUAUGGAAGAACAAAGGGAGACAAACGUUGUGUGCACCUCUGCAGCAAAUAGUCAAACGGAAAUUCCUGCUUCAGCCACAGGAGAGCCAGUACAAAUCCAGAAAAGUCCAGAUAAUUCUGAUCAACUGAAUAAUGGCAUUCUGGAUGAAAAUACUGAAAUGAGGGAAAUGCUGUCUACUUUAACGUCAGAGGCAUCUCAGCCAGUUGCCAGUGUGGAGAUGCAAAGAAGCAAAGAAAUUAUUGAUAUUCACAGCGAUAUGAUGGAAAAUUGUAAGGUGGUGGAAAUGGAGACUAAGCCAUCAGCAAUUUUUCAGCCAAACCCUGAUGUGGAAACUCAGAAAGAGCAAGACUUUGAAGAAUUGACUGCAGAAAUAUCAACGGAUAUUUGUGGAGAUGUGAUAGAAACUGAGAACGAGAACCCUGAAAGUGCUAGUGCACCGAAGUGUCCAAGCAAAAUAGAAACUCAAGCUAUAACCCCAUCAGUAGUUUUAAAUCCACCACCGGAAAUGGGAAUAAAACCUCAGGAGAGUCCUGAAGUUGGUGACGCCAGCAGUGACCCAUCUGGUGAAGUUCCCUCACAUCCAGCUGCAGAUUGUCGGAGCACGGAAGAUGAAAGUGGGUUUGACGCCGGCAGUGUUGCUUCUCAUCAGAAUCUAAAUGAAGAGGAUAUGCAAACUGCAACCACAUCAGAGAAGGCCGCUAACCCAGCACCUGCAGUGGCGAUACAGGGGAGUGUGGAAGUGUGUGAGCACAAUACAGAGAUCUCACAAGAGUUACACGAGGCCAAAGUUGAUGAUUUGAAAUUCGCCUCAAAUAAAAACCAGCUGAUCUUUGAACCCGUGGCUGCAUCAGAAAAUCAAAUUGAAAUGUCAACGUCAACAUCAGAGAGUUCUGACUCAGCCCCUUCAGUGGAGAUGCGAGCUUGUGAAGUAGGAGUGGAUGUAAAAACACCUGAGGAGACUUCCAACACGUCCCCUACAGUCGAAUUAGAAAACCACACAACUCAGGAAGGUAGGGAACAAGCCACGGAUGUGUCUGAUGAAGUUAAGGAAGACUGUAAAAGUGAUGAUUUGAAAUUAGUUAUUACUAGAAAUGAGGAGAAUUUUGAACCCAUGUCUACACCAGGGUGCGAAACGGAGAUGAAACCACAAACUACAUCAACAUCAGAGAUUUUCAACACAAACACAUCAGUAGACGAACAGAAAAAUAAAAUACAUGUGACCAUACAGACUUUAAAGUCAUCCGAGGAGAUUUCUAACACAUCCGACACUUCUGAUGAAUUUCACAAUGAUAACAAAGUCGAAGAAAAAGUUAUAGAUCAUAACAAGAUAACUUUACAGGCCGUUGCUACACCGGAGCGACAAAUUGAGAUGGAAAUGCAGAUUACACUAGCAUCAGGGAUUUCUGACGCGGCUCCUUCGGUAGAGAUUCAAAUGAGUCAAAUAGGAGAGGACAUGCAGACAGCAACAACCCCAGAGGAGGCUGCCAGGGCAUCACCUACAGUAGAAAUGCAACAACUGGGAAUUCCACAAGACAGCGGCCCGAUCAUGUCUGACCAACCUGAUGACGACAGUGAAACUAAACAGGAAAACGAGCUGAGCUUUGAAGCUGUAGCUGCAACAGGUAGUCACACUGAAAUGGAACUACAGACCUACAGCUCUACCCCAUUGGUGGAUGAGCAAGCAAGUGAAACAGAAAUGGACAUAAGAACUGCACAGAUAUCAGAGGAGGCUUCUGACACAUCGCCUACCGUUGAAAAAGAAGAGGAAUCCCAGGAAGACAAGGCUAAAGCGAGAGCAUGGGAAGACGCCCAUCAGGAGCUAAACACUGAAAGCUGUAAAAGUUUGGAAGAGGACAAGAAGGGCAACUGUUUUGUGACUGUAUCAGAGAAUCCAAUGCAAUUGGAAAAACAUGUUAUGUCAUGCAUAGAUGUUGCUAAUCCAGCAUCCUCAGCGAUGGUACUAAGUCAGGAGAACCCAAGGGAAGUGAAAAUGGAGACUGCAGCUACAUCACUGGAGAUUUCCAGCAGAGCACCCACAGUAGUAAUACAGGCCCCAGAGAGCCAGGGUGGCCAUGAAGACAAUAUGCGAGAGAGUGAGGGAAUGAAAAAUGAGCUUGUUGUUUCAGCCCCUGCAGUAGAAACACAAGACGCUGAGCCGACCGUAGACACAUCAGAAGAGGUUGAAGCCAGUCUACGGAUUCCUGCAAAGGAGAAUGAGAUUGUCUCACAAUUUGUCGGUGCUGUUGAGAGUCUAGUAGAGAGAGAAACACAGACGACAGCAACAACAACACCAGAGGAGAUUUCUAAUCCAUCAGCAGCUGGAACACAAAAUCCCAGAGGCCAGGAGGUCAGUGAACAUACCACAGACGCUGAACUUCAAAAGGAUGCAGUUGUUACUGGUACUGAAGAGAAAGAAAAUGAGGAGAUUGAUUCUCAGUACCUUGAACACACUGAGUCACAAAUAGAAAAAGAACUAGAAAAAACAGCAACACCAGAGAACAGUUGUGACCCAGGAUCUAUGAUGGAAAUACAAAACCAGGAGAACCAGGAGGUUCCUGAACGUAACAAAGGCACUGAACUUCAAAGAGCUGCAGUCUUGGCUUGUACUGAGAAUAAUGAAAACAUGGAAUCAGCUAUGACUCAAUCUGUCAGUGCUGCUGAGACUCAGAUGAACAUUGAUGCGGAAACAGCUGUAACGCAAGAGGAGAUUUGUGAUCCGGACUCUGUAAUGGAAAUACAAAUUCAGAAAGGCCAGGAGAAAGGUGAACUCAACAUGGCCGCCGAUGUUCAGAGAGCUCAGGCCACUACGAGUUGUUGGGAUGCGGAGGAAAACGAAGACACAGCCACUGCCCCAGCUGUAAAUCAAACAACUGAAGAAACAGCAACAGCCAAACAGCUGAAUCACAAGAUGGAAGAUGUUUGUGAACAACACAGUGCUGACUCAAAUGUAAUUCAUGAAACAACUCCGAUGACUAGUCUGGAAAACAACAAAUGUGUGGCCGAGACAGGCUCCGAAGAAGUAGAGGAUAUGGAUCUAAUAAGGGGAUCAAUAGAAACAGUAGAUUCUGAUUGGGAUGCGGAAACAAGAAGGCAAAUGACUAAUGAGGCCAAAAAAGAGGCUGCAGCCAUUUGUAGUGAUAAGGUUGAUGAAAGCGUUACUAAUAGUGAAAUAAGUGGAGGCAAAGAAGUCCCUGUUUUUGUUUGUGAACAACCAAGUGACACGGAUGUUGUUCAGGCACCGGAGGAGCAGAUGGAGACGGUGUCUGAGCCUAAGGACGUCCAGAUAGUGUAUGAGCCCAUUAGUAGUCCAGAGAGUCCUGAUAAUAGGGAUGCCUUUGAAAUGUCUGAGAAGCACGACGGUGUUUCUGUAUUGGACAUACAGAGCGCAGAUACCCACGAAAUGAAAGAAGCUUCCUGCGAAGAAAGCACGGAAACUAGCGCCCGUGACAGCGAGGGGCAUGUGAAGGAGGGCCUUCAAGAACCGCGUGAAAUGGAAGUUCAGGCCAUCAGCGUGGCAGACGCUUCUCUCCCUCCUGCGUCGGAGCAGAAUGACGACGCUGCGGAUGGGAGACAAACGGCACCCGCCGUCGCCAGCGAUGACUGCAGCGUGCCAGAUGGCCGGGGACAAGCAGCAACCCAAGACAGUGGAAGGAGUGGCCUCCCAGGAUGCACCGGGGCCGCCGAGCCUUCUGAGGCGGCGCAGGAGGACGCAGGAGGCGUCACGAUGCCGGCAGCCUCGGCGUCCAAGGAGCACGUGGCUCCGGCACCGGCGGCUCCGACACCGGCGGCUCCGGAACCGGCGGCUCUGGAACCGGCGGCUCUGGAACCGGCGGCUCUGGAACCGGCGGCUCUGGAACCGGCGGCUCUGGAACCGGCGGCUCUGGAACCGGUGGCUCCGGGUGAAAUUCAGUUUGAUAUUGUCACCCAAGCGGCUACUGAGUCUGGGCUGUCGUGCUCGCUUUUAGGGGAAGCGAAUUCAGAAAGUGCUUUAGAAGGUGAGGUGGAAAAUCAAAAGCUCUUAAAUGGUUUCCAACAACCUGAACAGACUGUUCUCGCUGAGUCAGAAGAGGAGGUCAGAGAAGCAACAGAGAAAAGUGGAGAUGAGGGCAGUGGGAGCCAAGUCACGACAGACACAUCAACAGGGGAGGACGCUCAGCAGCCGUCGUCUGACGUGGCGGAUGUGGCGGCCUCUCAUGCCCAGGUCGCAGAGGAGAACCCUGUUGCCGUGGCGAUGGAGACGGAAACCAGCCUGGACGUCCAGGAGGUGCAGAUUAUGGAGGACAUGCAGAUCGGUCGGGAGGUUGUCGUAGCAGAGGAGGCCGAAAAACCCAAGAAGCAAGAAAUGAACACGCAGGCCAGGACCAAAGCUCGUCUGGCGGCUCUGGCCGAGCAAAAGGCGGCGGAGUCGAAGAGGACGGCCAACAGACAGCAGCUGAACCUCUUAGCGCUGUGUCAGGAGAUCGCGGAGGACAUCGCCACGGACAGCAUGUUGCUGAAGAGGAUCGAGGAGGAGAAGCAGGCGGCGGCAGCUGCAGCAGCUGCAGCCGCAGCGGCAACAGCGGCCGCCGCCGAGGGUGAAGCCAGCAAGAAGGAGGAUCCACCUGAUACCAAGCAGGAGGCCGAGGAUGCCAAGCUGGACCCCCCCGCCGGGCCAGAGCAGCGGCCCGCUUCAGUGACGCCCACAGAGGCGCCAUCCACCGCCCCGGACCCCCAGCCCUCAACGGCAGCCUCAGCUGAGCCCAAAGCUGCUCCAGAGCCUCCGAAAAGACGCUUCUUCAUCUCUCAGGUGUCAGUGCCGCUGAAAACCCACGAGAAGAAGAAGCUGACUAGAUAUCAGAGACUGAGACAGGUUGAGCUGCAGAGGGAGAAGAUGUCCUGGGCUCGUGUCAAGAAGCUGAAGUCUGACCAAGUGAACCAGAUGUUCUCAGACAUGGACUGGCAGGCGCCGUUCUCCGCCGCCUCCUCAUUCUUAGCGGGCUCCACGGCGACGGCGCCUCCUCCGCCUGCAGCUUCUCCACCCAAAGCGUCUCCACCCAGUCCUGCCACCGAGAGGGCGCCUGCUACGCCUAAGGCCGAGGCUCCCACGGCUGAGACACCCACCGCUGAACCCGUCCAGGUGGAGCCCGUGAAAACCGAACCCGUUGCUCCGGAAAACGUAAAGUCAGAGCCCACGCAACCUGAACCUGAAGCGUCUAAACCGGAGUCUCCCGGUACUGAAACCCGCAGGGUAACGCGGCAGAGCAAGGCUCAGGCUGAGAAAGCGGCCGCUGAGAAGGCAGCCGCUUCUAAGGCAACGACCCCUAAAGCAGCAACUGCUGCAGGUCCUGCCCCAAAAGUGACCAGAUCAGCAUCCAAGAGGAGUCUUCCAGCAAAUCCUCCUCCCAUGCCCAACGGGCUCAAUGCUCAGAAGCCCAAACCUGUUGAGUACAAGCCAUACAGACCCCGGCCCAAAUAUUCCUUCGAUGACUUUGAACUGGAUGACGACCCGUUGCCAGUGGCUCCAGCGAAGCCCAGUCCUCAGUCCCGGCCCGUGCAGCCAGCACAGCCCCUUCAGCCCCAGCCCUCCGCUCAGUCCAGACUCACCCACCCAUCCAAACCCACCGCCUCGUUACCACAGAAAGCCCAGUCCACACCUGCUGGACAGAUCUCAGGUCAGUCAAAGCCCACUGUUACAGCUGCAGCCCAGUUAAAACCCGCCUCUUCCACCAAUCCACAAUCAAAGCACGCCGCUGCAGCAGCGCCCCAGCCAAAGGCCGCCGCAGCAGCAGCGGCAUCGGCCAAACCUCUGUUAAAGCCGCCUAUCGCGACGCCGCAGUCGAAGGCUGCUUCAGCUCCAUGUCAGUCCAAACCUGCCGCUGCUGGUGCCGCUCAGCCAAAGCCAUCUGCUCCCACGACCUCCCAGCAGGCUGCACCGACCGCAGCUGACACCAAGUCUGGUGCUCCCAAGGCUGAAGAGGCUUCACUAGAAGAUGGGAAACGCAAGGAUACAGCUGAUCCACCUCCGUCAGCUCCCACCCCUUCGCUUCCCUCCAUAAGCAGCCUGACAGCACCUGACGACACGCAGCAACGUGAAGAAAAGCCUGCAGGCAUGUGUUUGUUUGCAGUUUGCUUGAUGUUAAGUUUCCUUCAAGUUGUCACGUUUCUAAAUGCAGAGCUUGUUCUAUCUUCAGAUUCUUUAGUUGAGUUCCUGUUUUGA